rnacentral:lncRNA from 1 species
UCCCCCAGAAGGGACUGAAGCAGAAACUGUGCCAAGCCAGGCAGAAUUGGGUGGGGAUAGGAGUAAGGUAAGCCCAGUUUCAUGACACGGGUAGUUAAAAUGCAGUUUAUUUACAAUUAUUCAGAAGAUAUUUCAAGUUUCUUGAUAUUGUAGUGUUCUUGUUUCUCUCUCAUUCUGCUACGUGGAAUUUAAUCAUGAUUGGAACCAUCAGCAGGGAGAAGCUGGUCUGGUGGAGAUAAGGGAAAAGUAGCUGACGUUGAGUAUUUUGAUCUUUAUGGGCACAACUGAGAGAUGCUUUGGAGAGGAAGGUUAAGAAGAAAUUACUAAAGUUUAGAUUCUGUCAUGAGUUUCAAUUACCUGGUUAUGAUGACGAAUCCAUGUUCUACCGAUCUCCUAUUAUUUGCAAAACUGAGAUCUUUGUGUGAGAGUGAUGUGUUCCAACUGGGGCAUCACGUCUGGAUCGCAUAGGCAGGUUUCAAUGGCCAGAAAUCCUUUUCUGGCAAUAAAAGGAGGCAGUGGAGUCCUCAUUAGUGGGUUUGUUCUGCUUGAUAUCUGACUGCAAUUCUUGCAUGUUCUCUAUCCCAUUUUCUACAGAAACAAGUCUGAUCCCUUAAAAGGACAUGUAAUAGAAAAUACUGCUUCUUUUAUUUGAAAUCUAUAUUUAGAAACAAAUUAUAGCUCCUUACGCUGUGGUUUAGCCGAGUGGCUAUUUUGGGGUCAUAAGAAUCCCCCAAAGCUAGCUGACAGCUAAUGUGGGUUGGGUGUUUUAGAUUGGUCCCCAGGGUGCACACAGGUAAACUGAGCAACAUACCUUGAGUCCUCAGCUAUUUGGGUUGGAGGUCAGGCUGUGGACCCCCUCCCCUAGGAAUCUUUACUACUGCAGAGUAGGAGAGAGUGAACUCUUAGUGGCUUCCCUACAGAACAGCUGAUACUCCACAGACAGUUGGAGGGAAAGGGCAGUACCAAAUCCCCCUUACUGCCCCAGAAGAGUUUGGAUUGUUCCCUGGAGGAAGAAAAAGUCACCGCUGGCACAGCUGAAGGUGGGAUUCUAUUCUACAGAGCAGACGGAAAAGUCAGCAGGGGGCGACUCCAGGGACUCCUUUGCUACUUGCUAAGAAGCAGAGAACAGAAUAAGAGCAAAGCCUUAGGGAGGCCUAAGCUAACACCCAGUGGAGGAAAGGAGAGGCAAUCAGUGAUUAGAAACAAAGUGUGCAUCGUGCACUAAGUCCUGGCUUCACAUCAAACUCUCACCACUUCUUCAGCAAAAGCAAACUUCAGGAUACUAAUAAGAAUGGGCAUGACUAACCAAGGUAAUUUCUUCCUGAAUUAAUCUUAAACUCUUUAAGAGUCAUCAAGGUUUUAUUUCUUUGGCUCCAGAUUGAACUGUUGAAUUUUGCAAAAAGCAUUAAAAGUUACACAAGGGGGAUUCAAUUAAAACAAAAGAUACAACUACCCUUAAGACCUCAUUGAAGAGAGUUGGAGAAAAAUGUAUCUUUUAGGCUCUAAACAUCAAAAGAUACAAUUUAUACAUAUGUAGCUUUUGUUUAAAAGCUUUUGUGUGUAUAUAUAUAUAUGUAUCUUUUUAAAAGAAAUCUUCGGGCUUAGAAAACUCACCUUUCAACUUGUAUUGGAAAUAUUUGGGUUUGAUCCUCCUAUGGAAUUGUAGAGUAUAAUUCAUAGAGUAACUUAUAAAAACAUUAAUUUGACAGGUACUCAUGGCAAACACUUUGGGCAAAUGGUAUAUUAGAUUAGAAUUUGUGUUUCGCUGAAUUAUAAAAGUAAGUUGAAGAACCAAAUCAAAACAAAGUGGUUUUUAUUUCAUUUAAAUCUGCUCUGUGAUAUUCCAGGCCAUCUGUCAAUUUCCCUGGCUCAACUUUCCAGCUCUUGUUUCUUGUACACU